rnacentral:rRNA from 1 species
UCGAGAAUCUUUCGCAAUGCCCGAAAGGGUGACGAAGCGACGCCGCGUGCGGGAGGAAGGCCUUCGGGUUGUAAACCGCUGUCGGGAGUUAAGAAAUGCAAGGAUGUUAAUAGCGUUCUUGCUUGACUAAGGCUCCGGAGGAAGCCACGGCUAACUCUGUGCCAGCAGCCGCGGUAAUACAGAGGCGGCAAGCGUUGUUCGGAAUUAUUGGGCGUAAAGAGCACGUAGGCGGCUGUGUAAGUCGGUUGUGAAAGCCUUCCGCUCAACGGAAGAACGGCAUCCGAUACUGCAUGGCUUGAGUGUGGGAGGGGAGAGUGGAACUUCUGGUGGAGCGGUGAAAUGCGUAGAUAUCAGAAGGAACACCGGCGGCGAAGGCGACUCUCUGGUCCAUAACUGACGCUGAGUGUGCGAAAGCUAGGGGAGCAAACGGGAUUAGAUACCCAUGUAGUCCCUGAGCGGGCUGGCAAGGCGCAU